ACUGUGGUAAUUCUAGAGCUAAUACAUGCCAACGAACGCUGACCUUCGGGGAUGCGUGCAUUUAUCAGACCCAAAACCCAUGCGGGGUGCUCUUCGGGGUGCCCCGGCCGCUUUGGUGACUCUAGAUAACCUCGAGCCGAUCGCUGGCCCUCGUGGCGGCGACGUCUCAUUCGAAUGUCUGCCCUAUCAACUUUCGAUGGUACUUUCUGUGCCUACCAUGGUGACCACGGGUAACGGGGAAUCAGGGUUCGAUUCCGGAGAGGGAGCCUGAGAAACGGCUACCACAUCCAAGGAAGGCAGCAGGCGCGCAAAUUACCCACUCCCGACUCGGGGAGGUAGUGACGAAAAAUAACAAUACAGGACUCUUUCGAGGCCCUGUAAUUGGAAUGAGUAUA
rnacentral:rRNA from 1 species